GCGGGUAUCGUAUAAUGGCUAUUACCUCAGCCUUCCAGGCUGAUGAUGCGGGUUCGAUUCCCGCCUCCUGCUCGA
rnacentral:tRNA from 1 species